rnacentral:rRNA from 1 species
UGUGGUGACGAUAGUGAGAAGGAUAUACCUGUUCCCAUGUCGAACACAGAAGUCAAGCUUCUUAACGCCAAGAGUAG